CAAAACUUUCAACAACGGAUCUCUUGGUUCCGGCAUCGAUGAAGAACGCAGCGAAAUGCGAUACGUAAUGUGAAUUGCAGAACUCAGCGAACCAUCGAAUCUUUGAACGCACAUUGCGCCCGCCGGCAUUCCGGCGGGCAUGCCUGUUCGAGCGUCAUUG
rnacentral:rRNA from 1 species